rnacentral:rRNA from 1 species
GCCUACGGCCACACCACCCUGAAAACGCCCGAUCUCGUCUGAUCUCGGAAGCUAAGCAGGGUCGGGCUCGGUUAGUACUUGGAUGGGAGACCGCCCUGGGAAUCCCGGGUGCUGUAGGCU